ACGGAGGAUGCAAGCGUUAUCCGGAAUCAUUGGGCGUAAAGCGUCCGCAGGUGGUUGAUCGUGUCUGCUGUUAAAGACAGAAGCUCAACUUCUGAAGGGCAGUGGAAACUGGUGAACUAGAGUACGGUAGGGGUUGAGGGAAUUCCCAGUGUAGCGGUGAAAUGCGUAGAUAUUGGGAAGAACACCAGUGGCGAAGGCGCUCAACUGGGCCGUAACUGACACUCAGGGACGAAAGCUAGGGUAGCGAAAGGG
rnacentral:rRNA from 1 species